AAAUUGUAUUGAUUGUCCCACAGACAGGCUCGCGGUUAGCGGGACCCAGUUUAUUAGCCAGCCGGUCACACUCAACGACAUAAAUUUCAUUAUCAGCCAGCGGCAAGCUAACGAAGUUGCGUAUGUGUGAGCGUACCCUUGUGUGUAGUUUGUUGUGUGGCUAGAAAAUGAGGAAACGAAUGGCAGGCGAGAGGUUCGUGACUUUACAGCAGGAGCAGCAAUUCAGACGAUGCAACAAGUAACAACAGCAACAUCGGCUGCCGGCAGAGCAAUACUCAUCGAUAAGCGCCAACAGGCAAGCGGCAAGUAGUCGCCCGAUGGUCAUCGCCGUCGUCGCGUCAGUUGCCAAUUCACUACACCGCUAUAGCAUCUGCUAGCCAAGUAGCUGGGCUAACACCGAGAGCAAACUAAUUGCACGGCAAAUUUAUUAAUCGUCGUAAAUAUAUUAUCAAUAUUGGUGCAAGAAGUGGAGCAUAAAUUGAAACAUACAAAAUGGUGAUCGAUAUUAAAAUGUGUCGCUUCGAAAACGUGCCUUGGGGGUUUCGUUUGGUCGGCGGUGCGGACUUCGAAUUUCCGCUGACGGUCGUUAAGGUCAAUGAGGGCAGCAUAGCCGAGGAAGCCGGUUUGCGUGAAGGUGACGUCAUUGUACGCAUUAACGACACUGCUAUCUCACCACUGACACACGAAGAGGCAGACAAGGUAAUAAGGCACUGUGGAAAUGUGUUCUACAUCGGGGUUCAACGUGAGGGCGAAGAGCAAUUGGUGCCGAAGAUAUUCCCUGUUUACGGAGCUGAACGCCCCACAUCACCACAAACUUUCAUCGAUGUGAGUGGACGUAAGAGCCCUAUUCCUCGUCAACUGGAAGAUGAAGCAGAGCUGCAGACAGAACUUUUACCUGAGCUUCCAGAACGACCGUCGUCGGUGCUUUCGGAACAAUCGGAAAUCAAGUUGGUGGAAGAAGAAAUCGCUGCGGUACUUUCGGGUGAAUCAGAGGUCCUAACGGACCAUAAUGUUUUGGGUGUCAAUUUCUACAGACUUUUUCCCAAGCCUGGCGUCUGUAUGACCAGCGAUGUGUUGCGAACCCUCAACGAAGAUGCAACCAAAACUAGAGCAGAGAAAGAAAAAGAAAACAAAAAGUGGUCAACGUUUCUGGUGAAACCGGAUCGUCCCAUACCGAAGAGCAAGGAACAAAUCGAGGCCGAACGCAGAGCUGCCAAUGCAUACAAGGUUAAGAUAGUUAAGUCAGCCCCAAAAUCGCGUUCAGUAUCACCGAUGCCACGACCAAUCGAACCACCGACACAGCCAGUUGAACCAACGAUGUCAGUAGAAAGUAAACAACCGUCACCACCAAAGGUUGAAGAAAUUGAAGAGCCUCCACCAGCGGACAGCGAAUUGCCUAAUUUGGAGGAUAUACAAAUUAUAGUCGAAUCACCAGCUGAGGACAAAGAAGGUCAGCAAGUGGACACGCUUGAAAAGCUAACAUUGACUGCUGAUAACCAAGCAGGAAAUGAAGAAGACGCUCAAAGCAAUAACGAGGAAAUAUCGUGCACAAACGAGACGACACUCAUAUUGGAAGAUAAAAUUGAAGAAUCUACAACAGCAAAUGAUAUUGCAGCUACGUCAGGAGCUUCUACUGAACCUGAAAACUCCUUACCCCGUCGUGAAAAAUCCGAAGAAGAACUAGCACUUGAACGUCAACUGGCCGAUGUGCAACGCCAAUUGGCCGCACUCUCUUCCCUGCCCUCCACCAUACAAUCUACCCUCGACGCAGUCACAAAGCAGUUGGCAACACUUUUGCCAGCCUUCCAGUUGCAGACCGCAACUCAGCCAUCGCUGGCUCCCGUUCCACCUUCAGCUGAGACGCGCUCUAUUAAUUUAGAAAAUAUUGACGAAGGCGCUGAAGUUAACAAAGGAGAAAGCGAAACACAUGAGGCUUACUCCAGUUGCGAUCAGGAUGGUUCAGGAGUUACUGAGAAUAUUGCUGUGGUUGCAGACGAUGUCAGAGAAAGCGUUGCAACCGAUGCCACCACUUUGGAUGCAGCGAAGAUUCAGGAGGCAAAACAAAAUAAAGAAGAUACGCAACAAAUGGAGGAGGAGCAGAAUGUGAAGAAACAAAAGCUUUUGGUCUUUUACAGCGGCAAACAGUACGCUUUGAAUUAUGAAGAUGAGAAUUUAAGCAAGAGCGUGCUUUAACCAAAUCGGCAGCUUCUCAAAAUCCAACCGAAUUAUCAAAAAUUUAUCACUUUUAGCAAAAAUAUACUUUCCGAAAACAAAAUAAAUACUUAAAUUAAACAAAAACCAGACUACAGCUUUCGUUUUCCUUCGCAUGACAUAAACUCACAAAGAAAAAUUAAAUUUUAAAGUAACCGUUCAAUUAUCUCAUGAGAAUUGCCGAAUGGCACUAACUUCUUCACACUCGUACACAUAUCUAUAACCUAUACCCGCUUUAUGUAUAUUUGUUUGAGUUUGAAAUGAUCGUAAAUUACAUAAAACUGGCCUCGAAACUGGCAGCGCAACGAUGUGAUCGAGGAACUCGAAGAGCAGUUGGAGCGCAAAAACAAUCCCCGUCGUUCAAAACGUGCCUUUGGCCCAUUGACACCAUCUUCCGAGCGACCUCUUGUAUUGCCCGGCGGCAGGCGUUGGUAUCGACCCAAGGAUGCCUACAACGAUGAGUUCAUAGCGGAAACCUUGAGUGCACAAGCGGAACUCAUAACUGGCACUACAUUAGGAGUCAACUUCAUGAAGUAUCAAAAGCCUGAAAAGAAAAUCGACUUGAAUAGAAGUGAAGUUUACAAAGUAAUUCAUCACUUGGACCGACAGCCAGUGCGCGGCAUUGAAGUUCGGCCACCCGUGGUGCCAGCUGAAGUGGAUAUAAGAAAGGUGGCGUUGCAGCCGUAACCUGUCGCACUCGGCGGAACUCCGGCGCAAAUGUACGCAUGCUAAUAUCAAAACCAUGUUCCCGCUGAACUCAACAACUGCGGCGGGAAGCACAAGGGAGCCGCAAGCCACAAGCUGAUGCGUGCUCCAAACCAUCGACCAACCAGCCGCUCCGCCACAUUCACGUCCACAAAUACAGUAUAUAUGUAUGUAGUACACGACUGGAAACCUCAAAUACCGAGAUGCCUCUGCGUCCUGCGCCAAUGCAGAUUUCUAAUUUAGUUUUUAUGUAGACUUGCUGUAACUGGCUUUACAUACAUAUGUACAUACAACCAUACAUAUUUAAUGUUUUAAUGUAAAUUUUUCCGAUUUUAAUUCAUUUCCCAUUCGCUUGUGACAAACCAAAGUAAGCAGCGUUGCAAUAAAUCAAAAUUACAUACAUAUUCA